AUGAAGAUCACGGCGCUCGUCGUGCUGAAGCCGUCGGCCGGGGGCGUCGGGGGCUCCUCCUCCAGCGGCGGGCAGGGCUCCGAGGCGCUCGUGCUGGCCAACGCCACGGACGUCAGCCACUUCGGCUUCUUCCAGCGCGGCGCCGCCCGGGAGUUCAUCGUCUUCGUCGCCCGCACCGUCGCCCAGCGCACCCAGCCCGGCCAGCGCCAGUCCGUCCAGCACGAAGAGUACAAGGUCCACUCACACAACAGAAAUGGCCUCUGCGUGGUGGCAUUUAUGGAUGACCACUAUCCUGUACGAAGUGCAUUUUCUCUUCUGAAUAAGGUACUUGAUGAAUACCAGAAGGCUUUUGGGGAUGCUUGGAAAGCCGCCACAGCAGAUUCCACUCAAGAGUGGCCUUUCCUGAUGGAAGCUUUGACAAAAUUUCAGGAUCCUGCAGAGGCUGACAAGUUAACAAAAAUUCAGAGGGACUUGGAUGAAACAAAAAUUAUCCUACAUAAAACUAUAGAGAAUGUCCUUCAAAGAGGAGAGCGAUUGGAUAGCUUGGUUGAAAAAAGCUCAGACCUGAGUGCUGCUUCACAGAUGUUCUACAAGCAGGCGAAGAAAACAAACAGUUGUUGUACUAUACUUUGA
rnacentral:rRNA from 1 species